UAGGGAAUAUUGGACAAUGGGCGCAAGCCUGAUCCAGCAAUGCCGCGUGCAGGAUGAAGGCCUUCGGGUUGUAAACUGCUUUUGUACGGAACGAAACGGCUCUGGUUAAUACCUGGGGCUAAUGACGGUACCGUAAGAAUAAGCACCGGCUAACUACGUGCCAGCAGCCGCGGUAAUACGUAGGGUGCGAGCGUUAAUCGGAAUUACUGGGCGUAAAGCGUGCGCAGGCGGUGAUGUAAGACAGAUGUGAAAUCCCCGGGCUCAACCUGGGACCUGCAUUUGUGACUGCAUCGCUGGAGUGCGGCAGAGGGGGAUGGAAUUCCGCGCGUAGCAGUGAAAUGCGUAGAUAUGCGGAGGAACACCGAUGGCGAAGGCAAUCCCCUGGGCCUGCACUGACGCUCAUGCACGAAAGCGUGGGGAGCAAACA
rnacentral:rRNA from 1 species